rnacentral:rRNA from 1 species
UAGACAUAUGCUUGUCUCAAAGAUUAAGCCAUGCAUGUCGAAGUAUGAACCGCGUGCCGCAAGGCAGACGGGUGAAACUGCGAAAGGCUCAAUAAAUCAGCAAUCAUUCAAAUGAUGGUGCGCUGGAGUGGAGAGGCGUCGUCCGUCAAAAAGAUGGCGCCAGGAAGCAAAAGCUGCGAGGAUAACCGUGGUAAUUCUAGAGCUAAUACAUGGACCGGAGAAACAAAAGGCUGAGUCAGGCAACUGACAAGGCAGGCAUUUAUUAGAUACGAAACAAA